AUUACCGAGUGUUUUUGCUUCUCUAUCUCUUCGUGCUUGUUAACUGUCAGUAUCCUUUGUUUUUAAAAUGUUUUGAUAAUAACAUAAUAAAUGUUUGCUAUAUGGGCAAAAAACAAACAAAAAAACCCCUUAAGUUUGUAAAUUAGUCUAGCUGGCUUAUAGAACAUUUUAACACCCUUUUAUUCUUAUGCCUAUAUAUCUCCCCUGUGAAAUACUGGGAAUCAAAUUUCCUGGGAAGAUUUAGGGGCAUCCUGCUUUCUGACAUCUUGUUAAUAGCUCACCCAAUACUUGAAAUCAAGAUCAUUUAUUUCCAGCUGCAAAGAUGAUAUCUGUGAACUGACAGUAGUGGAGUCCUGUCUCAAGGGAAAAGCUGGGAGAGUUAUUUUGGCAUGGGCUAAGAAUGAUCUCCAGAAAUUGAUUCAGAGCAAAAUGAGCAGAACCAGGGGAACAUUGUACACAGAGACUGAUACACUUGGGCACAGUUGAAUGUGGACUUCUCAACUAGCAGCAUUGAAAUGAUCCAGGACAAUUCUGAGGGACUUAUGAGAAAGAAUACUACUCACCUCCAGAGAAAG